rnacentral:rRNA from 1 species
AACGAACGCUGGCGGCAGGCUUAACACAUGCAAGUCGAACGGGUGUAGCAAUACAUCAGUGGCAGACGGGUGAGUAACACGUGGGAACCUUCCUAGGGGUACGGAACAACUCAGGGAAACUUGAGCUAAUACCGUAUACGUCCGUAAGGAGAAAGAUUCAUCGCCCCUAGACGGGCCCGCGUCGGAUUAGGUAGUUGGUGGGGUAACGGCCUACCAAGCCUACGAUCCGUAGCUGAUCUGGGAGGAUGAUCAGCCACACUGGGACUGAGACACGGCCCAGACUCCUACGGGAGGCAGCAGUGGGGAAUCUUGCGCAAUGGGCGGAAAGCCUGACGCAGCGACGCCGCGUGAGGGAUGACGGCCU